UACAGAGGGGGCAAGCGUUGUUCGGAAUUACUGGGCGUAAAGGGCGCGUAGGCGGCCUUCUAAGUCAGGGGUGAAAUCCUGGAGCUCAACUCCAGAACUGCCUUUGAUACUGGAGAGCUUGAGUCCGGAAGAGGUGAGUGGAACUCCGAGUGUAGAGGUGAAAUUCGUAGAUAUUCGGAAGAACACCAGUGGCGAAGGCGGCUCACUGGUCCGGUACUGACGCUGAGGUGCGAAAGCGUGGGGAGCAAACAGG
rnacentral:rRNA from 1 species